rnacentral:rRNA from 1 species
CCUACGGGUGGCAGCAGUGAGGAAUAUUGGUCAAUGGCCGUAAGGCUGAACCAGCCAAGUAGCGUGAGGGAAGACUGCCCUAUGGGUUGUAAACCUCUUUUAUGCGGGGAUAAAGGUGUCCACGUGUGGAUGUUUGCAGGUACCGCAUGAAUAAGGACCGGCUAAUUCCGUGCCAGCAGCCGCGGUAAUACGGAGGAUGCGAGCGUUAUCCGGAUUUAUUGGGUUUAAAGGGUGCGUAGGCGGAAUGCCAAGUCAGCGGUAAAAUCGCGGGGCUCAACCUCGCUCCGCCGUUGAAACUGUUUCCCUUGAGUGUCGGAGAGGUAAUCGGAAUUCCUUGUGUAGCGGUGAAAUGCGUAGAUAUAAGGAAGAACACCAGUGGCGAAGGCGGAUUACUGGACGAUAACUGACGGUGAGGCGCGAAAGCGUGGGGAGCAAACAGGAUUAGAUACCCCUGUAGUC